GAUGAACGCUGGCGGCGUGCCUAAUACAUGCAAGUCGAGCGAACAGACGAGGAGCUUGCUCCUCUGACGUUAGCGGCGGACGGGUGAGUAACACGUGGAUAACCUACCUAUAAGACUGGGAUAACUUCGGGAAACCGGAGCUAAUACCGGAUAAUAUAUUGAACCGCAUGGUUCAAUAGUGAAAGACGGUUUUGCUGUCACUUAUAGAUGGAUCCGCGCCGCAUUAGCUAGUUGGUAAGGUAACGGCUUACCAAGGCAACGAUGCGUAGCCGACCUGAGAGGGGGAUUGGGCACAACUGAAACGAGACCCGGGUCCGAACCCCAAGGGAGGCAGGAGUAGGGAAUUUUCCCGCAAUGGCGGAAGGCCGAACGAGGCAAGGCCGCGUAGGGAAUGAAGUUUUCGGAUUCUAAAAACCUUUUAAUUAGGAAGAAACAAUGUGUAAGGUACUAUUCCACGUUUGAAGGGUACCUAAUCGAAAGGCAACGGCUAACUACGU
rnacentral:rRNA from 1 species